rnacentral:lncRNA from 1 species
AAAAUCACGCGUUUUCUCUUCGAAAUCCCCCAUUUAAGCCGAAAAUCACGCGUUUUCUCUUCGCAAAUCCCCCAAUUAACACAAAAAAACACGAUUUUUCUCUUCAGAAAUCCCACAUUUAAGCGAAAAUCACACUUUUUCUCUUCAGAAAUCCCCCAUUUAAGCGAAAAUCACACAUUUUCCCUUCGCAAAACCCCCAUUUAAGUGAAAUCUCGCGUUUUCUCUUUGCGAAUCGUCAAUUUAAGUGAAAAUCAAGCGUUUUCUCUUUGAGAAUCCCCCAUUUAUGCGAAAAUCACGAAUUUUCUCUUCUCAAAUACACCAUUUAAGCAAAAAUCACACGUUUUCUCUUUGCAAAUCCCCCAUUUAACUUGAAAAUCACGCGUUUUCUCUUCAGGAAUCUUCCAUUUAACCUGAAAAUCACGCGUUUUUCUCUUCGCAAAUCCCCCAUUUAUGUGGAAAACACGUGUUUUCUCUUCGAAAAUUUCCCAUUUAACCCGAAAAUCACGCGAUUUCUCUUCACAAAUCCCCCAUUUAAGCGAAAAACACGCGUUUUCUCUUCACAAAUCCGCCAUUUAUGUGAAAAAUCACGUGUUUUCUCUUCGAAAAUUUCCCAUUUAACCCGAAAACCACGCGUUUUCUCUUCACAAAUCCCCCAUUUAAGCGAAAAACACGCGUUUUCUCUUCACAAAUCCCCCAUUUAAGCAAAAAUCACGCGUUUUCUCUUCAGGAAUCUUCCAUUUAACCCGAAAAACACGCAUUUUCUCUUCACAAAUCCGCCGUUUAAGCAAAAAACACGCAUUUUCUCUUCAGGAAUCUUCCAUUUAACCCGAAAAUCACGCGUUUUCUUUUCAGAAAUCCCCCAUUUAAGCGAAAAUCACGCGUUUUCUCUCCGAGAAUCCAACAUUUAAGCGAAAAUCACGCGUUUUCUCAAAUCCCACAUUUAAGCGAAAGUCACGCGUUUUCUCUUCGCAAAUCCCUCAAUUAACACAAAAAA